rnacentral:rRNA from 1 species
UACGUAGGGACCAAGCGUUGUUCGGAUUUACUGGGCGUAAAGGGCGCGUAGGCGGCAAUUCAAGUCAGUUGUGAAAUCUCCGAGCUUAACUCGGAACGGUCAACUGAUACUGUUUGCUAGAGUACAGAAGGGCAAUCGGAAUUCUUGGUGUAGCGGUGAAAUGCGUAGAUAUCAAGAGGAACACCUGAGGUGAAGACGGGUUGCUGGGCUGAUACUGACGCUGAGGCGCAGAAGCGUAGGGUAGCAAACGGG